AAUAGCCUGCAAUGUUAGUGAGCUUUAUUUUGUUUCGAACCUUGUUUUCAAAAAGGGAGCUUUAUAUGCAAUGUUAGACAACAUGCCAAUUACGUUGGACGUUGAACGAUAUUCUGCGAGCACCCACCUACGAUUGUAGGUUCAUGAAACAACGUUAGCAACGGCAUACGCGGGUUUUGA
rfam:Bacillus sp. TS-2 DNA, contig: BspTS2nb19.